UUACGGACAUAUCACGUUGAAACACUGAUUCUCAUGCGAUCAUCGAAGUUAAGCAAUGUCGAGCCUGGUCAUUACCUGGAUGGGUGACCGUUUGGGAAUACCGAGUGCAGUAA